GUGUUGUUUGUUAAGGGCACACGGUGGAUGCCUUGGCAUUAUGAGCCGAUGAAGGACGUGUAAGGCCGCGAUAGGCCUCGGGGAGUUGCCAAUAGAGCGUUGAUCCGAGGGUGUCCGAAUGGGGAAACCUGGCCAUGGUUAUGUGUGGUUACCCAUCAGUGAAUUCAUAGCUGGUGUGGGGGUGACGCGGGGAAGUGAAACAUCUCAGUACCCGUAGGAGAAGAAAAUAAUUAAUGAUUCUGCUAGUAGUGGCGAACGAACGUGGAUGAGGCUAAACCGUAUGCGUGUGAUACCUGGCAGGGGUUGCGUGUGUGGUGUUGUGGGGCGUUGUUGGAGGAGGCUGCCGGCUCCUCGCUUGUUAUAUGUGUGUGUUAGCGGAAGUGGUUUGGAAUGGCCUGCCGUAGUGGGUGAGAGUCCCGUACGUGAAAACAUGUGCAUGCGAGUGGAUGAUGUUCCCGAGUAGCAGCGGGCUCGUGGAAUCUGCUGUGAAUCUGCCGGGACCACCCGGUAAGCCUAAAUACUUAUGAUGACCGAUAGCGGAUUAGUACCGUGAGGGAAUGGUGAAAAGUACCCCGGGAGGGGAGUGAAAUAGUACCUGAAACCGUGUGCUUACAAUCCGUCAGAGCCUCUUUUUGUUAGGUGAUGGCGUGCCUUUUGAAGAAUGAGCCUGCGAGUCAGCGGCAUGUCGCGAGGUUAACCCGUGUGGGGUAGUCGUAGCGAAAGCGAAUCCUAAUGAGGGUGUUUUUUUAGUGGCAUGUCCUGGACCCGAAGCGGGGUGAUCUACCCAUGGCCAGUGUGAAGCAGCUGUAAGAGGUUGUGGAGGCGCGAACCCACUUAGGUUGAAAACUGAGGGGAUGAGCUGUGGGUAGGGGUGAAAGGCCAAUCAAACUCCGUGAUAGCUGGUUCUCCCCGAAAUGCAUUUAGGUGCAGCGUUGUGUGUUUCUUGCUGGAGGUAGAGCUACUGGUUGGUUGAGCGGGACUACAAUCUUAGCAAUGUCAGCCAAACUCCGAAUGCCGGUAAUGUUAAGCAUGGCAGUGAGACUGCGGGGGAUAAGCUCCGUUGGUCGAGAGGGAAACAGCCCAGAUCGCCGGUUAAGGCCCCUAAGGGUGUACUAAGUGGAAAAGGAUGUGGGAUCGCGAAGACAGCCAGGAGGUUGGCUUAGAAGCAGCCAUCCUUGAAAGAGUGCGUAAUAGCUCACUGGUCGAGUGGUUCUGCGCCGACAAUGUAGUGGGGCUCAAGUACACCGCCGAAGCCGCGGCAGUCAGCAAUUUUUUUGUUGGUUGGGUAGGGGAGCGUCGUGCACUGCUGUGAAGCACCUGGGUGACUUGAUGGUGUGGAGUGUGUGCGAGUGAGAAUGCAGGCAUGAGUAACGAAUGAAAAGUGGAAAACUUUUCCGCCGGAUGACUAAGGGUUCCUGGGUUAAGCUAAUCUUCCCAGGGUGAGUCGGGACCUAAGGCGAGGCCGACAGGCGUAGUCGAUGGAUAACCAGUUGAUAUUCUGGUACCCGUGUAUGUGCGCCCAGUGGUGAAUCAGUGGUACUAACCAUCCAUGGAUCUGCUGGUCAUGCUUUGUGUGUGGUUGGUGGUGAUGUGCGUGGGAUCUUCGUUGGUAGUAGCCAAGUGAUGGGGUGACGCAGUGAGGUAGCUGAGCCAUUUAUUGGAUUGUGGUGUAAGCGUGUGGCCCGUGGCAUAGGUAAAUCCGUGUUACAUAGUGGGUGAGGCGUGAUGCGUAGACCUUUGUGGUUGAUGUUGGUGAUCCUGUACUGUCGAGAAAAGCCUCUAGCGAGUGCAUAUAUGGCCCGUACCCAUAACCGACACAGGUGGUCAGGUAGAGAAUACUAAGGCGAUCGGGUGAACUGUGGUUAAGGAACUCGGCAAAUUGCCCCCGUAACUUCGGGAGAAGGGGGACCAUUGCUGGUGACCGACGUGGUUGAGCUGGUGGUGGUCGCAGAGAAUAGAGGGAAGCGACUGUUUAUUAAAAACACAGGUCCGUGCGAAAACGUGGAAGUUGAUGUAUACGGACUGACGCCUGCCCGGUGCUGGAAGGUUAAGAGGACCUGUUAGGGCAUUUUUUGUCCGAAGCGGAGAAUUUAAGCCCCAGUAAACGGCGGUGGUAACUAUAACCAUCCUAAGGUAGCGAAAUUCCUUGUCGGGUAAGUUCCGACCUGCACGAAUGGCGUAACGACUUCCCUGCUGUCUCAACCACAGGCCCGGUGAAAUUGCAGUACGAGUAAAGAUGCUCGUUACGCGCGGCAGGACGAAAAGACCCCGGGACCUUCACUAUAGCUUGGUAUUGGUGUUUGGUUCGGUUUGUGUAGGAUAGGUGGGAGACUGUGAAGUGGUCACGCUAGUGGUUGUGGAGUCGAAAGUUGAAAUACCACUCUGAUCGGAUUGAGCACCU
rnacentral:rRNA from 1 species